GACGAAAAAUGAAUACCAAGUCUCAAGAGUGAACACGUAAUUCAUUACGAAGUUUAAUUCAUUGAGCAUCAAACUUUUAAAUUGAAGAGUUUGAUCAUGGCUCAGAUUGAACGCUGGCGGCAGGCCUAACACAUGCAAGUCGAACGGUAACAGGAAGCAGCUUGCUGCUUUGCUGACGAGUGGCGGACGGGUGAGUAAUGUCUGGGAAACUGCCUGAUGGAGGGGGAUAACUACUGGAAACGGUGGCUAAUACCGCAUAACGUCGCAAGACCAAAGAGGGGGACCUUCGGGCCUCUUGCCAUCAGAUGUGCCCAGAUGGGAUUAGCUUGUUGGUGAGGUAACGGCUCACCAAGGCGACGAUCCCUAGCUGGUCUGAGAGGAUGACCAGCCACACUGGAACUGAGACACGGUCCAGACUCCUACGGGAGGCAGCAGUGGGGAAUAUUGCACAAUGGGCGCAAGCCUGAUGCAGCCAUGCCGCGUGUAUGAAGAAGGCCUUCGGGUUGUAAAGUACUUUCAGCGGGGAGGAAGGUGUUGUGGUUAAUAACCGCAGCAAUUGACGUUACCCGCAGAAGAAGCACCGGCUAACUCCGUGCCAGCAGCCGCGGUAAUACGGAGGGUGCAAGCGUUAAUCGGAAUUACUGGGCGUAAAGCGCACGCAGGCGGUCUGUCAAGUCGGAUGUGAAAUCCCCGGGCUCAACCUGGGAACUGCAUUCGAAACUGGCAGGCUUGAGUCUUGUAGAGGGGGGNNNNNNNNNNNNNNNNNNNNGAAUUCCAGGUGUAGCGGUGAAAUGCGUAGAGAUCUGGAGGAAUACCGGUGGCGAAGGCGGCCCCCUGGACAAAGACUGACGCUCAGGUGCGAAAGCGUGGGGAGCAAACAGGAUUAGAUACCCUGGUAGUCCACGCCGUAAACGAUGUCUACUUGGAGGUUGUGCCCUUGAGGCGUGGCUUCCGGAGCUAACGCGUUAAGUAGACCGCCUGGGGAGUACGGCCGCAAGGUUAAAACUCAAAUGAAUUGACGGGGGCCCGCACAAGCGGUGGAGCAUGUGGUUUAAUUCGAUGCAACGCGAAGAACCUUACCUGGUCUUGACAUCCACGGAAGUUUUCAGAGAUGAGAAUGUGCCUUCGGGAACCGUGAGACAGGUGCUGCAUGGCUGUCGUCAGCUCGUGUUGUGAAAUGUUGGGUUAAGUCCCGCAACGAGCGCAACCCUUAUCCUUUGUUGCCAGCGGUCCGGCCGGGAACUCAAAGGAGACUGCCAGUGAUAAACUGGAGGAAGGUGGGGAUGACGUCAAGUCAUCAUGGCCCUUACGACCAGGGCUACACACGUGCUACAAUGGCGCAUACAAAGAGAAGCGACCUCGCGAGAGCAAGCGGACCUCAUAAAGUGCGUCGUAGUCCGGAUUGGAGUCUGCAACUCGACUCCAUGAAGUCGGAAUCGCUAGUAAUCGUGGAUCAGAAUGCCACGGUGAAUACGUUCCCGGGCCUUGUACACACCGCCCGUCACACCAUGGGAGUGGGUUGCAAAAGAAGUAGGUAGCUUAACCUUCGGGAGGGCGCUUACCACUUUGUGAUUCAUGACUGGGGUGAAGUCGUAACAAGGUAACCGUAGGGGAACCUGCGGUUGGAUCACCUCCUUACCUUAAAGAAGCGUACUUUGCAGUGCUCACACAGAUUGUCUGAUGAAAA
rnacentral:rRNA from 1 species